GGACAUGGCUCAGUUGGUAGAGCAUCACCUUGCCAAGGUGAGGGUCGCGGGUUCGAAUCCCGUUGUCCG
rnacentral:tRNA from 1 species